AAGACCUUGCACUUUUGGAGCGGCCGAUGUCUGAUUAGCUAGUUGGUGGGGUAAUGGCCUACCAAAGCUUCGAUCAGUAGCUGGUCUGAGAGGACGGCCAGCCACACUGGGACUGAGACACGGCCCAGACUCCUACGGGAGGCAGCAGUGGGGAAUUUUGGACAAUGGGCGCAAGCCUGAUCCAGCCAUGCCGCGUGAGUGAAGAAGGCCUUCGGGUUGUAAAGCUCUUUCAGCCGGGAAGAAAAGGUUGCGAUUAAUAAUCGCAAUUUAUGACGGUACCGGAAGAAGAAGCACCGGCUAACUACGUGCCAGCAGCCGCGGUAAUACGUAGGGUACGAGCGUUAAUCGGAAUUACUGGGCGUAAAGGGUGCGCAGGCGGUUUUGUAAGUCAGAUGUGAAAUCCCCGGGCUUAACCUGGGAACU
rnacentral:rRNA from 1 species